CUGGGCUCCCACCCAGACCUCACCGCCUGGGGACUGAGACUUUGCUGAACCCUGUGCUGCGGGACGGAGCGCUGUGUGUCAUGGUGUCUCUGAGCCGCCUAAGAACAACUGUCUCCACAGAACAGGGAUGAAACCUCAAGUCCCCAGUGUGUACCUCUGCCAUGAGAAUUACCUCUGCCCCGUGUCCACACUGCACAGGCCUGAGGAACUGAGGAGCCAGCUGUAAUGAGACCCAGGGCUCCACAGGCCUGUGACAUUCAUCUCCUUCAUCUCAUCAGCUCAUAAAGUGCCAGAAGAGGAUACCAGAUCUCAUUAUAGAUGUUGUGGGC